GAUGAACGCUGGCGGCGUGCCUAAUACAUGCAAGUCGAGCGAACAGAUGAGGAGCUUGCUCCUCUGACGUUAGCGGCGGACGGGUGAGUAACACGUGGAUAACCUACCUAUAAGACUGGGAUAACUUCGGGAAACCGGAGCUAAUACCGGAUAAUAUAUUGAACCGCAUGGUUCAAUAGUGAAAGACGGUUUUGCUGUCACUUAUAGAUGGAUCCGCGCCGCAUUAGCUAGUUGGUAAGGUAACGGCUUACCAAGGCAACGAUGCGUAGCCGACCUGAGAGGGUGAUCGGCCGCACGGGAAAUGAGACACGGUCCAGACUCCUACGGGAGGCAGAAGUAGGGAAUCUGCCGCAAUGGGCGAAAGCCUGACGGAGCAACGACGCGUGAGUGAUGAAGGUCUUCGGAUAGUAAAACUCUGUUAUUAGGGAAGAACAAAUGUGUAAGUAACUAUGCACGUCUUGACGGUACCUAAUCAGAAAGCCACGGCUAAAUACGUG
rnacentral:rRNA from 1 species